AACGUAGGAGGCGAGCGUUAUCCGGAUUUACUGGGUGUAAAGCGCGUGCAGGCGGUUAGCUAAGUUGGGUGUGAAAGCUCCUGGCUCAACUGGGAGAGGUCGCUCAAGACUGGCUGACUCGAGGAUGGUAGGGGAAAGUGGAAUUCCGGGUGUAGUGGUGAAAUGCGUAGAUAUCCGGAGGAACACCAGUGGCGAAGGCGGCUUUCUGGACCAUCACUGACGCUCAGACGCGAAAGCCAGGGUAGCAAACGGG
rnacentral:rRNA from 1 species